AAAAGAAGAAAUGGAAGGAGAGAGAAGUGUUCGUCUUCUUCUUGCAAAGCUGAACCUAAGUGAAGAAAGAAAGAAAAAUUGUUAAAAGCAUUCGGUCAAUUUAAGGGUUAAUCAAGAACUUAAAGGAGGGGAAUCAAGCAAGGGCAAAGCGAGGAGCAUCGAGUAGCCGAUUUGGAACCGUUUUAUCCAACACAAGAUUUCCUUGACCCAUUUUGCGUGCUUGGAAUCAUCGUCGAAGUCAUCACACCAGCUUGCAACAUUUUGGUACCCUCUUCUUAAUUGAUCUAAAUGAACAUUUCGGCAUGUAUAGGCUAAUAUGUAUUUUGUUUGAACGUUGAUAUGUAUACUUCCAGCCAUGUGAAUAUGGCUUAAAUACUAAGUUUGAAUUUGGUUAUGUUUAAUCAUGGUAUAAAUCGUCUUGGUUAUAAUUUGUAA